rnacentral:rRNA from 1 species
UACGAAGGGGGCUAGCGUUGCUCGGAAUCACUGGGCGUGAAGGGUGCGUAGGCGGGUCUUUAAGUCAGGGGGGAAAUCCUGGAGCUCAACUCCAGAACUGCCUUUGAUACUGAAGAUCUUGAGUUCGGGAGAGGUGAGUGGAACUGCGAGUGUAGAGGUGAAAUUCGUAGAUAUUCGCAAGAACACCAGUGGCGAAGGCGGCUCACUGGCCCGAUACUGACGCUGAGGCACGAAAGCGUGGGGAGCAAACAGG